UCUUCUGUGAGAGAGAAUCUGAAGGAACCCGGUCGUAAACACUCGCACUGACGAACAGAAACUUCAUAUGAAAGCUCGGUGGAAUGGCUAAACCUACUAUACAAGGCAAAGUCCAAUACUGUACGGAAUUUCGUUGAGUAAAUAAGGCAGUGACAUGAGUCGAAAGCGAGCUGG
rnacentral:ncRNA from 1 species